rnacentral:rRNA from 1 species
AGUGAACGCUGGCGGCGUGGUUAAGACAUGCAGGUCGAGCGACAGUAGCAAUACUGGAGCGGCAAACGGGUGCGUAACACGUGAGCAAUCUGCCCUUAAGACCGGAAUAGCCCAGGGAAACUUGGAUUAAUACCGGAUGUGGAGGAGUCAGGCAUCUAACUUCUUCCAAAGCUUGUAACGGCGCUUAAGGAGGAGCUCGCGGCCUAUCAGCUAGUUGGCGAGGUAACGGCUCACCAAGGCUAAGACGGGUAACUGGUCUGAGAGGAUGAUCAGUCACACUGGAACUGAGACACGGUCCAGGCACCUACGGGUGGCAGCAGUUUCGAAUCGUUCACAAUGGGGGCAACCCUGAUGGCGCGACGCCGCGUGGGGGAUGAAGGUCUUCGGAUUGUAAACUCCUGUCAUUGGGGACUAAUGGCCAGGCUCAUACCCUGGUUUGAAUUAACCCAAAGAGGAAGCAGUGGCUAACUCUGUGCCAGCAGCCGCGGUAACAC